AGGACGAACGCUGGCGGCGUGCUUAACACAUGCAAGUCACGGGGGCCCGCAAGGGUAACCGGCGAACGGGUGCGUAACACGUGAACAACCUGCCCUCGUGUGGGGGAUAGCCAUGCUAACGCGUGGGUAAUACCGCAUACGGUCCUUUGGGGGAGUCCCUGGGGGAAGAAAGCUCCGGCGCACGGGGAGGGGUUCGCGGCCUAUCAGCUAGUUGGGGGGGUAAUGGCCCACCAAGGCGACGACGGGUAGCUGGUCUGAGAGGAUGGCCAGCCACAUUGGGACUGAGAGACGGCCCAGACUCCUACGGGAGGCAGCAGUGGGGAAUUUUGGACAAUGGGGGCAACCCUGAUCCAGCCAUGCCGCGUGAGUGAAGAAGGCCUUCGGGUUGUAAAGCUCUUUUGGCCGGGAAGAAAGGCUCCCUUGAAUACGGGAGCUGUUGACGGUACCGGCAGAAUAAGCACCGGCUAACUACGUGCCAGCAGCCGC
rnacentral:rRNA from 1 species